CAAGGAGUAGCCAAGCGGUAAGGCAUGAGGUCGCGCUUCAAUCGCUGGUUCGAAUCCAGCCUCCUUGU
rnacentral:tRNA from 3 species